AUUCAGCUGACGUGUCCCAAAUUGGACGAAACGCGCGUCCUGGAU
rnacentral:hammerhead_ribozyme from 1 species